GGGGUUGUGGCUCAGUGGUAGAGCGCUUGCCUAGCACGUGCAAGGCCCUGGGUUCAAUCCUCAGCACCA
rnacentral:tRNA from 1 species